AUGUUUAGUGCAGUUGCUAUUUGGGAGCUUUUGAGGGGCCUUUUGGGAUUGUUACAUUAGUGUAUAUCCCUAGCACCCCUCAUCCUUGGUCUUCUUUUGUGCUGAGACCUGAGGGAGCUUGCUUGGUGAACCCUAGAGGAGUCUUGGAUGUGAAGCUAGAAGCUUAGUUGAGGAUUAAACUCCAACCCUAGCUCAAGUUUAGCUUGGUUUGGAGCUUUCUUGAAGGUGAGAAUUGAAGUAUCCCAACCUUGAUUGGAGUUUUGGACAAGUUUUCUUUGAUUUAAGGGUCCUAGGAGGCCUGAGGGCAACUUUGUUCGAGUAAACGAAGGAGUUCGAAGUGUAUUCGAUGGGUUUGACCUCUCCGAAAUGGGUGAACUCCCUCUAUGUCUUUUAUGUUAUUAAAGAAAUAAUUUGGUGCAUUUCCAUGCUAGUUGUGACAUGGUAGAAUUUUUGAAUGCAUGAUACAUUCAUGCUACAUAUAAAAAUUUCAUACUUUAUUUAGUAGAGGUUUAUCAUGUGGACUUGUACACUAAAUGGCACUAGAUGGCAUGUAAUAGUAUUUUCCUCUUAUGCAACAUUAGGAUGCAUCAUAGAGUUGAGUAAAGAAAAUUCCUAUAGGACUUCGCAUGGUUAGUGGAAUUAUUGAGUUCGAAUGCAAACUAAUUAAUGUACUUGUUUUAGGCAAGAGCAAAUAUGACCCACUGCAGGGUAGAGAUAAAUUGUAAAGUUAACAUGUUGUAUCUAAUUAGUUGAAUGGCUAAGCGAGUUUUAUGAUAUUGUACUCGACCUUUAGGUCGUUAGCUGUAUUUAAUAUUUUAGACACGAUGAAUGAGAUUGCAACGCCUUUGGGCGAACAAUAAUAGGGACAAACGCAUAUAAUGAAAAUUGCUUGCAUGAUAACUCCAUGUAGUUGAGACCUUGGUAGCAAAGCAUAUGCAUGGCAUACAUGGCAUACAUUAUGAUUUUUGUGAACAUCUUUGUGAUUCCUUUGGAUAUGGCAUUAGUAAUGACUCUUUUGACUAUAGUGAAUACAGAGUAGGUGAAACCAGAUAGAGUCUUGAAUGAUAUAUGGACCUUUACAUGUUUGGGAUACGUUGCAUAUUGGUAGAGUCCUACCUAGUUAAUUGAACGAGUUAUGAUACAAAUAAAAUAGUACCCAACCUUCGAGUCAAUAUUGUGAUUUCAUGUUUUAGACAUAAUGAUUGAGUAUUUGAUUUGUGGAUACCGUGCUAUUGAUCACGCAUGCUUGCCAUUGUGCUCAUUCGCACAAGCUUGUGAAGGUCGCUCCCUACAAGCCGGCACUCCGGAGUAGCCUUGCGACGACAGAUCGCCCGUGCGGAAUUGGGCGCCGAAGUGGAUUGCCUUGAGGAGUGUUGACUACCACAGGGCCAUUAGGCACGGCACGAGCCGGGACUUUAUCACGUAGCCUUCCGCAGCGGGAGAGGCUAGGGAUCAUAGCAAGGGAUCGUGGGAAGAGGUUAGCAUCUAGCUAGAGCCUCUGUGGUGUUAUCAUAGUUGGACCCAUCGACAUCUUUCUUUUUAUUUUUAGUUGAAAGGUGUACUGUAUAUUUGUUUAGAGACUUACUAGUUUCUUCUUUUCCAGUUGUAUAUACUAUGGUAUAUCUGGUGGAUGUUGUGGUUCUGGUCUUAUAGUAGGCUUAUGUUCUUGCUCUGAUAGCCAUGUUAGGAUUGUUUCUUUUCCAUGUUGUUGUAGACGCCUUGUGUGCACCGGAGGUGCUUGGUGUGCAAGCGCCCGGUGGGCUUCCGCUAGGGCUCGGGGCGUGACAGAUAUACAUGCAACAAUUAGACAUUGGAGAGACAAAUUUAUAACUAAACUUUGCACGAAUAUAUUUAUCAAUUGAUGUCUUUAGAAGGACAUGUAUAAACUUAACCCUCAAAACAAUUAUAUUUUAUGGAAGGUUUUCUUA